rnacentral:rRNA from 1 species
AUUUAACCUCAAAUCAGGUAAGAAUACCCGCUGAACUUAAGCAUAUCAAUAAGCGGAGGAAAAGAAAAUAACAAUGAUUCCCUUAGUAACUGCGAGUGAAGAGGGACAAGCUCAAAUUUUAAAUCUGUUAGGUUCAUCUAACCGAGUUGUAAUUUGAAGAGGCGUUUUCUGCGUUUUUGAUCAGUCCAAGUCCUUUGGAAUAAGGCAUCAUGGAGGGUGAGAAUCCCGUUCGGUUGAUCAAAUUUGCUUUAUGAUACGUCAUCUAAGAGUCAAGUUGUUUGGGAUUGCAGCUUAAAAUGGGAGGUAAAUUUCUCCUAAGGCUAAAUAACGGCGAGAGACCGAUAGCGAACAAGUACCGUGAGGGAAAGAUGAAAAGAACUUUGAAAAGAGAGUCAAAUAGUACGUGAAAUUGUUGAAAGGGAAACGAUUGAAGUCAGUCGUACCUGCGGGAUAAUCAGCCUUUCGAGUAUGAUUCUGUGGAGUGUAAGGAGUUUAACCGUCUUCAUACCUGCAUAUUCGUGCGCUUUGGGUGUACUUGUCCGUAUGGUAGGUUAACAUCAAUUUUGGUCGUUAUAAAAUGACUAGGGGAAUGUAGCUUUGAUCCCGUAUUGAAGUGUUAUAGUCUCUGGUAAAUGCAGUGACUAGGAUUGAGGAUUGCAACGGAUACCUUUCGGGGCUACUCGUCUGAUCUCUGGAAGUUACUUUGGUGCUAAAAGCUUGCUUAUGGUUAUCGAAGUUGACGGUCAAUAGGUUAGAACGAGUUAAAUUCGUUAAGGAUGUUGACGUAAUGGCUUUAAACGACCCGUCUUGAAACACGGACCAAGGAGUCUAACAUGUAUGCGAGUGUU